UACGUAGGUCCCGAGCGUUGUCCGGAUUUAUUGGGCGUAGAGCGAGCGCAGGUGGUUUAUUAAGUCUGGUGUAAAAGGCAGUGGCUCAACCAUUGUAUGCAUUGGAAACUGGUAGACUUGAGUGCAGGAGAGGAGAGUGGAAUUCCAUGUGUAGCGGUGAAAUGCGUAGAUAUAUGGAGGAACACCGGUGGCGAAAGCGGCUCUCUGGCCUGUAACUGACACUGAGGCUCGAAAGCGUGGAGAGCAAACAGG
rnacentral:rRNA from 1 species